rnacentral:rRNA from 1 species
UGAAUACGAGACGCUAAGGCGUCGAAGUAGUGUAUGUCAUACUUCCAAGAAAAGCUUGCACUGUCAUAGAUAAAAAACGCCUGUACCAUAACCGACACAGGUGGGUAGGUAGAGUAUACUAAGGGGCGCGAGAUAACUCUCUCUAAGGAACUCGGCAAAAUAACUCCGUAACUUCGGGAGAAGGAGUGCCUUAUUUAUAAGGCUGCAAUAACAAGAUCCAAGCAACUGUUUAUCAAAAACACAGGUCUCCGCUAAGUCGUAAGACGAUGUAUGGGGGCUGACGCCUGCCCAGUGCCAGAAGGUUAAAGAAGUUGGUUAGCUUUUGCGAAGCUGAUAACUGAAGCCCUGGUGAACGGCGGCCGUAACAAUAACGGUCCUAAGGUAGCGAAAUUCCUUGUCGGGUAAGUUCCGACCCGCACGAAAGGCGUAAUGAUUUGGAUACUGUCUCGGAGAGGGGCUCGGUGAAAUAGACUUGUCUGUGAAGAUGCGGACUACCUGCACCAGGACAGAAAGACCCUAUGAAGCUUUACUGUAACUUGAAAUUGAAAUUGGACUUUAUUCGCGCAGCAUAGGUGGGAGGCGUUGAUUAUAAUCUCGUGGGAUUAUUGGAGCCAUCAGUGAGAUACCACUCUUGUAAUGUUAGAUUUCUAACUUUGAAUCAUUAUCUGGUCAAAGAACAGUUUCAGGCGGGCAGUUUGACUGGGGCGGUCGCCUCCUAAACGGUAACGGAGGCGUACAAAGGUUUCCUCUGAACGGUUAGAAAUCGUAUCUAGAGUGUAAAGGCAUAAGGAAGCUUGACUGUGAGACCUACAAGUCGAGCAGGGACGAAAGUCGGUCUUAGUGAUCUGACGGUACUGAGUGGAAAGGCCGUCACUCAACGGAUAAAAGUUACUCUAGGAUAACAGGCUGAUCUCCCCCAAGAGUUCACAUCGACGGGGAGGUUUGGCACCUGGAUGUCGGCUCAUCGCAUCCUGGGGCGGUAGUACGUCCCAAGGGUUGGGCUGUUCGCCCAUGAAAGCGGUACGCGAGCUGGGUUCAGAACGUCGUGAGACAGUUCGGUCCAUAUCCGGUGUAGGCGUUAGAAUAUUGAGAGGAGCCUUCUUUAGUACGAGAGGACCGAGAAGGACAUACCUCUGGUGUACCAGUUAUCGUGCCAACGGUAAACGCUGGGUAGCUAUGUAUGGAGUGGAUAACCGCUGAAAGCAUCUAAGUGGGAAGCCCACCUCAAGAUAAGUAUUCUCAU